rnacentral:rRNA from 1 species
GCUACCGGACCUAGCGGCGGACGGGUGAGUAAUGCUUAGGAAUCUGCCUAUUAGUGGGGGACAACAUCUCGAAAGGGAUGCUAAUACCGCAUACGUCCUACGGGAGAAAGCAGGGGAUCUUCGGACCUUGCGCUAAUAGAUGAGCCUAAGUCGGAUUAGCUAGUUGGUGGGGUAAAGGCCUACCAAGGCGACGAUCUGUAGCGGGUCUGAGAGGAUGAUCCGCCACACUGGGACUGAGACACGGCCCAGACUCCUACGGGAGGCAGCAGUGGGGAAUAUUGGACAAUGGGGGGAACCCUGAUCCAGCCAUGCCGCGUGUGUGAAGAAGGCCUUAUGGUUGUAAAGCACUUUAAGCGAGGAGGAGGCUACUUUAGUUAAUACCUAGAGAUAGUGGACGUUACUCGCAGAAUAAGCACCGGCUAACUCUGUGCCAGCAGCCGCGGUAAUACAGAGGGUGCGAGCGUUAAUUCGGGAUUUACUGGGCGUAAAAGCGUGCGUAGGCGGCUUAUUUAAGUCGGAAUGUGAAAUCCCCCGAGCUUAACUUGGGAAUUGCAUUCGAUACUGGUGAGCUAGAGUAUGGGAGAGGAUGGUAGAAUUCCAGGUGUAGCGGUGAAAUGCGUAGAGAUCUGGAGGAAUACCGAUGGCGAAGGCAGCCAUCUGGCCUAAUACUGACGCUGAGGUACGAAAGCAUGGGGAGCAAACAGGAUUAGAUACCCUGGUAGUCCAUGCCGUAAACGAUGUCUACUAGCCGUUGGGGCCUUUGAGGCUUUAGUGGCGCAGCUAACGCGAUAAGUAGACCGCCUGGGGGAGUACGGUCGCAAGACUAAAACUCAAAUGAAAUUGACGGGGGGCCCGCACAAGCGGUGGAGCAUGUGGUUUAAUUCGAUGCAACGCGAAGAACCUUACCUGGCCUUGACAUACUAGAAACUUUCCAGAGAUGGAUUGGUGCCUUCGGGAAUCUAGAUACAGGUGCUGCAUGGCUGUCGUCAGCUCGUGUCGUGAGAUGUUGGGUUAAGUCCCGCAACGAGCGCAACCCUUUUCCUUACUUGCCAGCAUUUCGGAUGGGAACUUUAAGGAUACUGCCAGUGACAAACUGGAGGAAGGCGGGGACGACGUCAAGUCAUCAUGGCCCUUACGGCCAGGGCUACACACGUGCUACAAUGGUCGGUACAAAGGGUUGCUACACAGCGAUGUGAUGCUAAUCUCAAAAAGCCGAUCGUAGUCCGGAUUGGAGUCUGCAACUCGACUCCAUGAAGUCGGAAUCGCUAGUAAUCG